GACGGGGCCCGCACAAGCGGUGGAGUAUGUGGUUUAAUUCGACGCAACGCGCAGAACCUUACCUAGACUUGACAUCCCGGGGAUUUUCUGGAAACAGAGAAGUGCUUUAGCAAUAAAGAACCCGGUGACAGGUGCUGCAUGGCUGUCGUCAGCUCGUGUCGUGAGAUGUUGGGUUAAGUCCCGCAACGAGCGCAACCCUCGCCUCUAGUUGCCAGCAUUCGGUUGGGCACUCUAGAGGGACUGCCGGCGACAAGUCGGAGGAAGGUGGGGAUGACGUCAAAUCAUCAUGCCCCUUAUGACCUGGGCUACACACGUGCUACAAUGGGCGGUACAAAGGGCUGCGAACCCGCGAGGCGGAGCAAAUCCGAAAAAGCCGGUCUCAGUUCGGAUUGCAGGCUGCAAUUCGCCUGCAUGAAGUCGGAAUCGCUAGUAAUCGCAGGUCAGCAUACUGCGGUGAAUACGUUCCCGGGCCUU
rnacentral:rRNA from 1 species